rnacentral:lncRNA from 1 species
UAUGGAAUGUAUGAUCUUUAUUAAUUUUUAAUCCAUCAAUCUAAAAUCACACAUACUAGAUCAAACAGAAGUACCACAGUAUGCUUUAUUUUGCAGGUAUUAAUUGGUUCUCUAAAUCGAUACAUCCAAAACUUUAGUUAGCAGCAAGCAUCAGUUCUUCCAAAGCAGCUUAGGUGAAAAACAAUUGUUUACAUUCACCAGUUCAAAGUCGUACUGUCUGAUCCACUGUUGUAUUGACAUAAAAUUGAACUCAGUAGGCAAAGCUAAUUGAACACUCAGCUCAUAGAUUUUGAGCUUCCUUUAUCUUAUUGGAGUUGAAGCAGUUUUUAACCCUCUGUUAAUAUUCUCUAUUUUAAUUCUCAAAGAAUUAAACACACAUAUUUUCUAAUUAAUUAAGAUAGAGCCAUGAUAACUAUUGAGGAAUUAGUGAUAUUAGUCUCAUACCCAAAAGGUAGAACACUUUUAAAUGAACCCAUAAUUUUGAAUGUAUCUGAAUUUCCAGUUUAUAUGCUUAGCAAGGUCACAAGCUGAUUCUCUACUUCAUUCAACUGAAAACCAAG